rnacentral:rRNA from 1 species
GACGAACGCUGGCGGCGUGCCUAAUACAUGCAAGUCGAGCGCAGGAAAUCGACGGAACACUUCGGGGGGAAGUCGAUGGAAUGAGCGGCGGACGGGUGAGUAACACGUAAAGAACCUGCCCUCAGGUCUGGGAUAACCACGAGAAAUCGGGGCUAAUACCGGAUGGGUCAUCGGACCGCAUGGUCCGAGGAUGAAAGGCGCUUCGGCGUCGCCUGGGGAUGGCUUUGCGGUGCAUUAGCUAGUUGGUGGGGUAAUGGCCCACCAAGGCGACGAUGCAUAGCCGACCUGAGAGGGUGAUCGGCCACACUGGGGCUGAGACACGGCCCAGACUCCUACGGGAGGCAGCAGUAGGGAAUCUUCCACAAUGGACGAAAGUCUGAUGGAGCAACGCCGCGUGAACGAUGAAGGCCUUCGGGUCGUAAAGUUCUGUUGUAAGGGAAGAACAAGUGCCGCAGGCAAUGGCGGCACCUUGACGGUACCUUGCGAGAAAGCCACGGCUAACUACGUGCCAGCCGCCGCCGUAACAC